rnacentral:rRNA from 1 species
CACGUAGGGGGCAAGCGUUGUCCGGAUUUAUUGGGCGUAAAGAGCUCGUAGGCGGUGUGUCACGUCGUUCGUGAAAACCUGCAGCUUAACUGUGGGCGUGCGGUCGAUACGGGCAUCACUGGAGUUCGGCAGGGGAGACUGGAAUUCCUGGUGUAGCGGUGAAAUGCGCAGAUAUCAGGAGGAACACCGGUGGCGAAGGCGGGUCUCUGGGCCGAUACUGACGCUGAGGAGCGAAAGCGUGGGGAGCGAACAGG